AUCCAGCUGGAGGACGAGUCCCAAAUAGGACGAAAUGCGCGUUAUCCUGGAU
rnacentral:hammerhead_ribozyme from 1 species